GACGAACGCUGGCGGCGUGCCUAAUACAUGCAAGUAGAACGCUGAAGGAGGAGCUUGCUUCUCUGGAUGAGUUGCGAACGGGUGAGUAACACGUAUGUAACCUGCCUGUUAGCGGGGGAUAACUAUUGGAAACGAUAGCUAAUACCGCAUAAGAGUAGAUGUUGCAUGACAUUUACUUAAAAGGUGCAGUUGCAUCACUACCAGUUGGACCUGCGUUGUAUUAGCUAGUUGGUGAAGUAACGGCUCACCAAGGCAACGAUACAUAGCCGACCUGAGAGGGGGAUCGGCCAAACUGGGACUGAGACAAGGCCCAGACUCCUAAGGGAGGCAGCAGUAGGGGAUCUUCGGCAAUGGACGGAAGUCUGAACGAGGAAAGCCGUGUGAGUGGAGAAGGUUGUCGGAUCGUAAAGAUCCGUUGUAAGAGAAGAAAGAGUGUGAGAGUGGAAAGUUCACACUGUGACGGUACCUUAUCAGAAAGGGACGGCUAACUACGUG
rnacentral:rRNA from 1 species